UGCCUUUAUAACACUCUUCUUCUCUCCAAAUCAAAGAGGUAUAUAAAUUUCAGGUUUUCAUAAUUUUCUCCAUCCUUUCUGUUGCUGUAGGACCGCUGCCCAUCACCACUACACUACAUCUAUCAUCUGAUAAAUGAUCCAAAGUUUCACCACUGACCCUCUCACACUCUAGAUGAAUUAACUAAUUAUCAACUCAUCUGAUUCUUAGCCAAGCUUCAUAGAUCUGAGAAAAAUCAAACACCGAAAUGAAUUUUUUUUAAAAGUCGCACAGUUCAGGUCAAAAUCCCAGUUAUGUACACUCUAAGGAAUUGGAUAGAGAGUCAAAGAUUUAGCGACUACAUGAAAAUAACCUUUACCUACAAACUUUUCUCCAAUGCAAUAUUGCUAGGAACAAGCCAACAUUCAUAAAAGAGGGAUGACUCAAGUUCAAUAAAAUUUCGAAGGCUUGAUUUAAGUUAGGGUUUUGAGAGUAGAGAAAGGAAGAGGAGAAAAGAGGAGAAAGGAGAAGAGGAAGCAAGAACGUUCCAAAUCAUCGAAGUUCAGGUUGUACAAUUUAUCGGGGGUGAUCUCUAUAAAGAGACUUAUGCCUCCAUGAAGAGUAGUCAAAGGUCGUCUAACUAAGAGAUAUGUUCAGAAAGAAGAGUUGCAAAAUGCAAUUGAAGUGCAACAACAAGGAAAAAUUACCCAUGCUAAAUUCAGUGAGACUAUCUAGAUAUUACGUCGAGUUGCGACUCAUGAAGUUAGACAUAGAGGUAAUUGAAAGGAAGUGGAUAAUACUUCAGAGAUCCGUAUGUUUUUAUAGAUGAAUUAACCAAUAUUCACAGGUUGAAGUGUCACAGAGGACCCCGAGAACUUUGCUGAAGUCCUUCAAAAAGCUUUUGACAUAUUGCAUGUUGUUGAUGCUGAGAGGGUGGAACUAGAUGCAUACCAAAUAAAGGGUAUCUCUAGAGUCUUAUUUUCCCAACGGAAAAAGUAUAGGGUUGAGGAUGUACCAAUUGUAAGUUGGGUUGUGUUUGAGAAUGUUCUCAUGGGACGUUUCAUUCGCUGUGAGUUGUGAGAGCAAAUGAUAAGAGAGUUUCUAACCCUUAAUCCUGCGUUUAUGAGUAAUAAUGAGUACGGUCUGUUGCACAAAUUUCCUGCUAUGAUCUGGAGAUGGUUGUUGACAUGAGGAGCAUAAUGAUUUUAUUUUUGGCUGGGUUGUCUCAUUAGUCAAUAAAGGAAGGAAAAAAAGCAAUGCUGAUUGGGGAUAGGCACCUAGACUUGUUAAUGAUCUAUGUACAACAAGUCUGGGAAACAAGUUCAUGCAACAAAAGAAUAAUGCCAACAGGUCCUCCCUACAUUAGAAGCAAAAGGGACCUACUCCAUCAUCUAUGAGUGCACCUAUACCUAAGAACAAAAGUGAGUACAAUAGUCAGAACUUCCGAGCUAAUCCAGCCUAUUUUAAAGUCUGUAUGUCACAAAGGGAUGGUAGACCUCAUGCAUGUGGUGAGAAUGGCAGAAACCACUUCUUAUUUCUUGUGAGGGCUUUACUAGUUGUUUUAAGUGUGGUCAAAAUAGUCGUUUUCUGAGGGAGUGUCUUGAGAACUAGAAAGGUAUGGAAAUCAAGGAAAAAGGUCCAAUCUUCUCCAGUUUCUCCACCGAAAAGAGCUGCAUCUAGAGGGGCUACUUCCAAUAGCGGGGGAAGAAAAAAUCUCUUAUAGGCUAUCAACACUCGUCAAGAGCAAGAGGGUUAACUAGAUAUUGUCACCGGUGAAGUCUUUGACUUUACUGUUCAUUUUUUGCUAGACCCAGGAAUGAUUUUAUCUUUCGUAAAUCUAUAUGUUUCUAUGUGAUUUGAUGUUAUACUGAGCAUUUUAGCGAAAUAUCCAGUGUUUUUAAACCUCUUGGUGAGUCUAUUGUAAUAGAGAGAGCCUAUCGUGAUUUUCCCAUUUUCGCCAAUCACAAAAGUACCAUGACUAAUUUAGUUGUGUUAGACAUGGUAGAUUUUGUUGUCAUUCUAGGUAUUAAGUGGCUUCUUGCAGCUAUGACUCAGUUGAAUCUAGAACUCGAGUACUCAUUUUAAAGUUUCCAAAUGAGCCAACCUUAGUGUGGAAAACAAUUUAGUAGUGCGGAAAAGUCUAUUUAUGUCGUACAUUAAGGCGAGAAAAUUACUUUGUAAGGGGUGUCUGUAUCCCUUAGUCUAUGACUCUAGUGUUGAGAUACCUCUUAUUCAGUCAAUUCCAGUAGUGAAAGAGUUUCCAGAAAUCUUUCCACAUAAUCUUCUGGGAUUCCCGUGUGAGAGAGAGAUAGACUUCAACAUAAAAGUUUUUCUAGAUACUCGUCCUGGAUCUAUCUUUCCAUAUAGGAUGGAAGCAACAGAGUUUGAAGGGUUAAAAGAAAAAUUGAAAGAUCUAUUAGAUAAGGAUUUCUUCGACCAUCUAUAUCACGUUGGGGCGCUCUGGCCUUAUUUGUGAUAAAGAAAUAUGGUUGCCUUAGGAUAUACAUAGAUUAACGCCAAUUGAACAAUGUUAUGAUCUGUAACAAUUGAGGGGCACCUCCUAGUAGUUACAAGGUGUAAUCGACCUAUGGAAGGUCUCAUUCAUGCCACACGUAUCAAUCAUUGUAUACGAUACUCAAAAUAAGUAAGAAUUCAAAUCUUUCUUCACGAUGAAGAAUACAUUCAUUAAUAAACAAGCAGAAUACUUUUAAAAAUAUUAUACCUUUACAAUGUGUCAGUAAACCAUCUAUACGUUAGAAUACAACAUUUGGGACUUAGCCCAUACAACACUUGAAAUAAGCACUAAAAAUGAACAUUUGGGUCUUGUCCUCGAAUCUAUGUGGACACACCAAAGCAUUAUUAUUAACACUUUGAAACCUAUUCAUCAUCCAUAGAAUAUAAAGAAAUUAAAUCCCUAAUGUUUAGUCAAAAAGGUAAAAGGAGUUAAAACAUUUAAUUCACUAAGAAUGGAAGCCAUGCAAAAACCAUGAAAAAGGGACAUUUUUAGUAUGAAAACAAGAUUUCAUGACAUUUAGAUAAAACCUUCACAAUAAGUGUUUAAGCGACAUAAAUAUACAAGUUAACUAUCACAUAUAAGAAACAUUCAAAUAAUCCACAACCUACAAAAGUUUAUCCUAUGACCCACCUACGUAUGAUAUCAAGUGGCCGCCCAUACAUCCUCUUCAUAAACACCUUGGUGAUCCUCUAGACUACCCAAAGUAAGGAUAUUCAUUUUCAUCACAUAACACUUAACUCCAUAUUCAUAAAAUAAGCCUUCUCAUUAUUUAUAGUCCCUAUCAAAGGUUAAUCUAAGAGUCAGUUGAGUAAGAUAUGAAAAGGCCACCCAUACACCCUCUUCAAGGACACCUAAGAAAUCCUCAAAGCUACCAUAGAAAAGAACCUCUCUAUUCAACACGCUUUAACAAAAUUAACAUUAUUGGUCAAAUCAAUUUAAAAUACAACAAAAAAAUUAGGGGACUUAACAUAAUGGUCUUGGAUGACCUAGGGAACUUAUUCUAGCAUAUUCAAGGGCUACUCCUGCCAUGUAUAGAUAGAGUCAUUCCACUACAUACAUGUUGUAGAGCCCAUCCAAUACUAGAGUGUACAUCAUAUAUGAUGAUAAUAGGCAUUAAACUAAAUAGACCAUACUAUCUAGGUAUGUAAUCUUGUGGCCUAAAACCCACACUGUGGAAGGUGUUCUACUUGACAAAGGUAGAACUAAGACUCAUCCCAUGUUUGCACAUAGUUAAGGGAUAUAAAGGGUUUCUUUAUACUCUAGUUUCAUACAUUAGUAGAGAUACUACCAUAAGCAUACCACUCAGUUCUUUUCUUUCUAUCUCAUAGAGUAAAUUUAUACACGUGAAGGUAUUCGAGAAGGUACCAUUUCUUAGUCUUACAAACUCAUAGUACCCCUACCAUGAAUGAGUAAACUAGGACUACCACUCAAGGUCUAUUAGCGCUGUUGAUUUUUAAUUUUCUUUUCAUAUUCAAGGUUUCAUACAAGUCUUUCAUAUAAGGUAACCACUAUAAGUCUACUGAUUCUAGACUUUUAUUGAAUUAUGCGUCCAUUCACAUACAUGGCAAGGGUGCCAAUUUCUACCAAGUUAAGAGAUCACCUUCACAAAAUUUUCAUGUAUCAAUCAGAAGGAAAUAAGUCUAACAAUAUAGACACAACAUUUUUCAUAUAACAUAGUAAAUAACCUUCAAGUACCUAGUGCGGACAACUAAUUCUACCAACACAAGAUGCUACAUCAUUCAAUAAGGACAUGUAACACACCCAAAAUUGAAUUAGGGAAAUAUAGAGCCUAACAUGAGUGUGUAAUGAUAUUAUAAGGUCUUUAAAUGACUAAUAAUAGUCUUAAGAUGAAGUGUGUAAUAUUUGGGAGUGUUAUGGAGUCAAACAACAAAGAACGUCUAAGACGUUCGAAAACUAGUCGAGGUUGAACUAGUGUUUCAUAGUAUUUUGUAGUGAGUUUUGGGGUAUGUUUUGAGGGUAAAAUUUAUUAUGACAUGUAAAGGAUUGAAAAGUCUGAGAACGACGCCCCUAGGACCAGCCUAAGGGUCCCCAAGGAGGACCCAAACAUGGUCCAAGCAAGCUGCCACACUAGCAAAGAAUUGGCAGUAGCUGCGCGUCCCGUAGCCUGCAUUGGUAUGGGAAAGUUUUUACCUAAGUUGCGAGUAAAUCACGAAUCAUUCUGUCUCAAAUUUUUUAAGAACCAAGAAUUGAAAAUGCCUCUGCGAUGCGUAGUGACCUCAAAGAUUUGGCCUCGUCAUCUUUUAUUCAAAUUAGAAUUGGUUAAAAUGUCCAUUAAGUGCAUGGGUCUUUUGGGAACUUUAGAGAUUAAUUAUUUGUGGUUAUUUUUGGUAUUUGAAGUAUAUAAAAUUAUUAAAAUAGACAUUUAUACAUUAAACUCCAAAUCAAAACCUUUCUCUCACAAAAUUCUCCCUAAUCUACCAUUGAAGAAGAAGAGAAAUUGGAGGCAGCUUUAGGACGAAUUUACUAAGUUUUCAAGCUGGGUUUAAGGAUCUAACAUAAUUUAUGUGAAUUUUAGUCAUCAAUGUAUUCUUCUAUUCAUGGAGUCCCCCCUAGUUUACCAAAAUUGUAAAUCCAAAAUACCCAAUCUAGGAUGGGUUGUGAUUUCAUUACCUGAAUUAACGAGAUUAGCUUCUAAUGAUAGUUUAGGAGUGAGGAUUCAUACUCCACUAUUGGAUAGCUUGUAUCUAUAUGAUUGGUUGCAUGGUGAUUAGGAUGGUUGUAUCCUUCUUUAGUUAACUUUGUAAGUAUGAUGACAUACUUUUUAUGGUAGUAGGUAUAUUAUGAUAGUAAUUUGAGCUUAAUGGACAAGGUUAUAAGAUAAGUUAGCUUGGAUUAUGUUAGUCUAGAGAAAUAUUUAGUUUGGAUGGUAGUAUGGUAUGCUAUCCAUACAUUUCACAAGUAUGACUUGUAGCUACCUAUGACAUGACCCCUAUGGUAUGUAUGCUUAGCUUGGAUAGUGAUGAUAGUUGCAUUUCAUGACAGGAUUGACUCAAGAUGAUAGUUCCUUGUCAAUAUAAAGUAGGUUUACUAGAUACUCCUAAGAUAAAAUUAAAGGAAUAGGGUGACUUCAAUAUAUGCUUGGUGUGUGAGGUACAAUGUUAUGCUUAACAUGUAUCACACAAGUUUGUUUUGAGGUGGUGUUGGGGUAUAGUGCUCAUAUGUUAUGAAGAAUCUAGGUUCUAAUUAUGAUAGUGGAUUAUGAUCAAGAAUUACCAAAAACAUGUACUAUGAUUUUAUAGUAGUAUGGGAUGCUACCUUAGUUUUGCAAAAGUAUACUUGGAGGUGAGUAGUCAAGUAGGACAUUUUAGUAUGAAGGACAAUGAGUUAUGUACGAAAUCUUAUACCAUUUAUGAUGCUUCAUUAUGCUUAUGUUAUUCAUGUUAUGCUUAUGCUUUAUGUCUUAUGAUUAUGUCUAAUAUUGGAUAACCUUUGAGAUAUCUUAUGCUAUAAUAUGAUUGUUUCCAUAUAUUUUGCCUACAUUCUAAUCCAAUGUAGGGUCUUGAGGAGAUUGAGUUGCUUUCAAGGGUAGAUUUUCCAAGGCUUUCAAGAAGUGAAGAGUGGUGAUUCCUUAUAGCAUCCGAGGACACCACCACGAUGAUGUCUUUUAUGUUCAAUUUUUAUGGUUUGUGACCCAAGACUAUUGUAGUCAUGAUUCUAUAGAUGGUUUUAUAGAAAUAUGUUAGAACUUUUAUAAAAUAAUUCCGCAUUAUGUUUUGAAAGAGAACUUUUAAUUCUGCCCUACUUUUCGUAUUUAUGCAGUGAAUGAUUUCUAAGGUCUUUCACAAGACCUCCGAGAGGUCAAGUACGUCGUGUUCCCACUUGAAGGAUGCCCUAUAUUCUAGGGUGUACAUUGGGUCGUGACAAGCAUAAUAUCAGAGCAUAAGGUUAGGAAAUGGUCUUAGGAUAUGUCAAAACCACAUCUAGUAGAGUCUUAUUCAUUGGUGUAAGUCGUGAAACAUCUAUGAGUGGGAGACUACAAGAUGCUUAAGAAAUAUUCACUUGUUCAUUAUUCAAGUCAUGCUAUAGUGUUUGGCUUGAGUAAGACUUCCUUCUAACGUAACCUAUGAUUUGCUACCACUAGGGCUAAUGCUCGAAGGGAUAGAGAUGGAAUUGAGAAUCAAGAGGUUCCUCCCCAAGGGAAUCAAGUUCCUCCCCAAGUUCCUAAUGCUUUUCUAGUGGAGAAUGUUACUCUAGAGGCAUUAAAGAUUUCUAUAAAUUUGUUAGCUCAAGCCUUGACGGUCCAAGCCAACAGGGAGUGGUGGCUAAACCUAUAGGGGGAAUCUGUGCUUAUAGAAUUAGACAGUUCUUGAGGAUGACCCAUCCGGAACUUAGUGGAUCCAAGGUAGAGGAUGAUCCAAAUGGGUUCAUAUAUGAGGUGUAUAAGACUCUUGCUAUUAUGGGUUUGACUUGUAGGGAGAAAGGGGAGUUAGCCGCUUACCAAGUGAAAGAUGUAGCUCAAUUUUGGUAUGACCAAUGGAAUGAUUCUACGCCAGUAAGGGCGGGUCCUAGAGAGUGGGAUAAUUUUAAGUAGACUUUCCUUGAUAGGUUCUUUCCUAGGGAAUUGAGAGAGGCUAAGUUGGGGGAAUUCAUAAACCUCAAACAAGGAAAGUUGAGUAUUAAGGAGAAUGCUUUCUAAAUAUGCUCGAAGGUUGGUAGCAAAGUCUAGAGACUUUAUGAAUCGGUUCAGGACGGGGGUGUACGAUUAGUUGAGGAAGAGUUUCAUAUGGCAAUGCUUGUAGAUGAUAUAGAUAUCUCCAAACUAAUGUUGUUUGCUCAACAAAUAGAAGAGUCUAAGUUUAAGAAGGACAUGAAGAGAGUAAGGAUAUAAUGUUAAGGGCCCGAUAGACAUGGUCAUUCUAAGAAUCAUCAUAAGUCUUCAGGUCAUGACUCAUCUAGUACUCCUAGGUAUGAGAAGAGUAAUGAGUAUUCCCGACCUACUUGCACUAGGUGUGGUAAGAAACACGAGGUUAGGUACUUGUCCGAUAGAUAUGGUUGCGAUGGGUAUGGUGAGAGUGGUCAUAUGAUGAAAGGUUUCCCUAAGGCAAAAUAUAAUGUAAGAUAAGGCAAUCAUGUUGUGACUAAUCAAGUGGAAGAUGGUUUUCCAAAGAGGAAUAUGUUAUAUGCUCUCCUAUCUAAGGGUGAUCAAGAAUGAUAUCCUUUUGUCCCUCUCCAGUAUGUGUUUCUUUAAUGAUUUAUAAAUUUUUUAAGAAUUUUUUAUGAUUAUGACAUGCUUUAUGAUUUUCCUUCUCUUAAUACAAAUGAUAUGAUGUUAAGGAGACAUGUGUAACUUAUUCCCAAGUGGGGGAUACAGAGCCCUUUUCAUAAGGUCUUUAUAUGAUUAUGUGUAGUUAUGAUUAUCUUAGAAUUGAAUUGUUUCCUUUAUUUGAAUAUGUUCAUUUACAUAUAAUUCAUAUAUAAUAGGAUACUAUUCUAGAGUUGGUCCUUUAUGAAAUGUGUAAUUAGGUGUCAUUCGAGGACAAAUGUUUCCCAAGUAUGGGAUAUUGUAACACCCCUUAAAUUGAACUAGGUCAAGAUAGAGCCUAACAUGAGUUUUUCAUGAACUUAUAAGGUCUUAAAAUGACUAAUAAUACUGUUUAGAGUAAAUUUUUAAAUUUUGGAUUUGUUUUGAGGUCAAACAUCCAAGAACGUCAAAGGCGUCCGGAAACUAGUCGAGGUGGAACUAGUGUGUCUUAGUGUUUAAUCGUGGAGUUUUGGGGUAUAAUUUGAUGGUGAAAUUGAGUAUUGAUUUUUCCUAUACAUAGACUCACAUAUAAAAGAUCUAAAUUUAAGGUCCCCAAGGAGGACCCAAACAUGGUCUAAGCAAGCUGCCGCGCCAGCAAAGAAUUAGAGGUAGCUGCGCGUAGCGCGGCCUGCACUAAGAUGGGAAUUUUUUCCCUGAUAUGGAAGGACAUCGCGAACCAUUAUGUAUCAAAAAUUUCCAGAACCAAGAAUUGAAAAUUCUUGCGCGAUGUGUAGUGACCUCCAAGAUUUGGUCGCGUCAUUUAUAAGUCAAAUUAGAAUUGGAUAAAUUAUCCAUUAAUUGCAGGGGUCUUUAUGGAACUUUAGGAAUUAAUAUUGAUGUUUAUUUUAAGAAUUUUAAGUGUAUAAAGUAGUACAAUAUCCAUUUAGACACUAUUAUCAAAUUAUAACCUUUCUCUCCUAUACACCGGCUAAAACCACCAUUGAAGAAGAAGAGAAAUUGGAGGUAGAUUCAAGAAAUAUUCACCAAGGUUCAAGAUGGGUUCAAGAAUCUAAUAUAAGGUAUUGAGUAGAUUGAGUUGCUUUCAAGGGUAAAGUUUCCAAGGCUUUCAAGAAGUGAAGAUUUGUGAGUCCUCAUAGCAUCCGAGGACACCACCACUAUGAUGUUUUUAUGUUCUUUUCUAUGUUAGAAUUUUCAUGGGCUUUUACCCAAGACUAUUGUACUCAUUAUGUCAUAGAUUCCACAUUAUGUUUUGCAAGAAAAGUUCUGAUUCCACG